rnacentral:rRNA from 1 species
GGAACACCAAAGGCGAAGGCAUUGCACUGGGCUAGCACUGACCCUGAGAGACGAAAGCGUGGGGAGCAAAACGGAUUAGAUACCCGUGUAGUCCACGCCCUAAACGAUGAAUGCUAAAUGUUCGGGGAUUCGACCCCCUGGGUGUUACAGCUAACGCGUUAAGCAUUCCGCCUGGGAAGUACGGCCGCAAGGCUAAAACUCAAAGGAAUAGACGGGGAUCCGCACAAGCGGUGGAGCGUCUGGUUUAAUUCGACAGUAAGCGUGGUACCUCACCAGGGUUUGACAUCCCUUGACAGCCUUGGAAACAAGGUUUCCUUCGGGCAAGGUGACAGGUGCUGCAUGGUCGUCGUCAGUUCGUGCCGUGAGGCGCUCCGUUAAGUCGGGAAACGAACGAAACCCCUAUUGCAUGUUACAAUUUCUCAUGCAAGACUGCCCGGAUAUACUGGGAGGAAGGUGGGGAUGACGUCAGAUCUGCAUGGUCCUUAUACCCUGGGCGACACAGGCGCUACAAUGGCAGAGACAAAGGGUUGCAAAACCGCAAGGUGAAGCUAAUCCCAAAAACUUUGUCUAAGUUCGGAUUGAAGGCUGCAAUUCGCCUUCAUGAAGCUGGAAUCGCUAGUAAUCGUGAAUCAGCCACGUCACGGUGAAUAUGUUCCCGGAUCUUGUACUCACCGCCCGUCACACCAAGAGAGUUGGUAGCUCCCGAAGCGUCCCGUUUUAGCGGGGCAUCACGGAGAGAUCAGCGAUAGGGGUGAAGUCGUAACAAGGUAACCAAGGGCGAA